rnacentral:lncRNA from 1 species
AUAAUCUUAAUCACUUUAAAACAAACUAUUAUGUAACAGAGAAACACAAAACCGCAUACAUACAAAGCACAUUAGCGAAAAUGAAACAUAAGGAUACAAAAUUUUACCAUAACACAAUAACGCAAUGACGGGAUGUAUAGGUAUAGAGCAACAUCAUAUAUAACAAAAAAAGAAAACCAACAACCAUACACGCAACAAGGUAUAUAUACAAAGCACAUUAGCCAAUUAAAAAAAAACCAAGAAUACAAAGGUUUUACCAUAGAACAAUAUCAC